GGUGAUGCCUUUCAGUGCCCAGUCCAGGCCCUUGCGGUACUGCAGUCCAUAGUCUUGGAACUCUAUAGUGCCAGUCUGAGGCCAGGCCAGAGGCAGGGAACUGCCCUCCACGGUCCACACAGCCUGGCUUUAAUAAAAAAACAUCUGAAAACGGAACAAUGUACACCAGUCACCACAUCAACUGGAUAUAUUAUUUUGCCAGAGCAUGUACUGCAAGGUGAAUGUGUUGUUUCUAUCAAACCUAACCUGGUGGCCACAAAGCGGGGGAAGUAGGAGGUCUGGUUGAAGUCGACCCUCUUGUUAGCCUGCACAAUGAAGCGGUGCUGUUCUCCGAAGGCCCGUAUGACACUGGCUCCCUGCACCGUCUCGUUGAAGUGGGUGUAGAUGGGCGAGCGGCUCACCGACUCCAGCCUCCGCAGCUGGCAGGAUGUGGCCACGUAGAAACUCUGUAUAAAAAUAAAACAUUACGUUU